UCAUAGACUCAUAGAUAUUAAGGUUAGAAGGGACCAUUAUGAUCAUCUGCUCUUCCCCUCUCCAUCUUCUCCCAACCCACCUGGUUUGGGAGGGACUCGCCUCCGGAGCUGGGACUGGGAGCUGCAGCAGCUUUGGGCACUAUGGCUUACUGCUGAGACAUUAAAAUCAUUACAGGUCACUGAAGGACAAUGGAGCUAUUUACACCAGGCGCCAUGCUUUCUUCCAUGCUGCGCCUCAAGCAAGGAACCUUCCAAUCCCACUGCAAAAGAUCCUUCUCUUCUCAUUCAAGACUCACCUCUUCAGUGAGUCCGACACAUUAACCGAUGCCAAUUAUUGCCUUCUUCCCCCUAUUUAUAGUGGAGUGAAAGACAGAAUGGAAAAUGGAUGACUCCAGGAAGAAGAAAAAAGCCACAGAAAACACUGACACUACGCCCCAUAUUCUUUAUAGAGAUAUUGUUAUGAUAUGAUUAUGGCAUAACUAUGAUAUAUUUUAUGCAAGAUAGGUCAUUUAAGAUAUCAUUGAAAAGGUUAUGAUUCAUUGAAUAUGAUUGUCCUAUUUGUAUGCAUGUAUCAUUUUGGUAUCUGAAUUUAGGAAUAUUGUCUAUGCAUCUAUUACAAAUGUGUGUGUAAUCAGUCUAGACGGCUGGCUGGCAAGGUCCAUUAGGGAGAACAAUAAGUCUUAGAAGAUGCUAAUCUCCUACCCGGGAGCCUUCGUGAGGACGCUACAAAUAGCCUCCAAAUCAUGGCUGCUGUUUCCCUACAGGGGCAUGUGACCAAGUCACAUGGUACUGGACUCCAUCAUAGAAUACCAGUGUUCUUUUCCACUGAAAGGCGUGGGAACCAAGCUGGGAGAGAAAGGGUUCCCACCAUAUGCAACAGCUAUUUAAGGCAGUGGAGUGACAUCAUCAUGGUUCUUCACUGACUCCCCACCCAAAGGAGAAACACCUGAGAAGCAAGGAUUGAACUGGGGGAAAAGGGCUGAACCCAGACUAGAGGGAUUUCUAUCUUGUGAAAGGAAUAUCUGGGGUUUUAAGCUGCAAGCAAGUACAGCUUGCCCUCAAGAAUCUCUGCAAACUGCCUGAACCAACAAUUAGAGUGAGAAUAUGCUACUCAUAUCCAAUUUCUUUAGUAUAUUAAGCUUAGAUUGCAUUUUUGUGUUAUUUGCUAGGUAAUCUGCUUCAAUUUGUUUACUAUCCUGUAUAAUCAUUUAAAAUCUAUCCUUUAUAAUUAAUUAUCUUUGUUUUUGUUUUGUCUAAAACCAGUGUGUGGAAAUCAUAACGGCGGGGGGAGGCGCAGAAAGCUGUUGCAUAUUUUCCUCCACAUUGAGGGAGGGGGUGAAUUUCAUGAGCUUACGUUGUACAGUCCCCUGUGCAGUGCAAGAUGGCAAGAUGGUAUAAUUUGGGUUUAUACCCCAAAGGGGGGUGCAUGCAUUAGGAACUGGGAGGUGCCUUAGCUGAGCCUUUCUAUGCAGAGCUGAUCUCAGCAUCUAUGUGUAGCUGCAGCUGGGUGUGUCCCUACCUGUAUGUGUGCUGGAGGGGACUUGAGGGCCUGUCACAGCAGUACAGUGUAAAGGGAGCCCAGGCUCGUGAGUCAGGCAAGCUCAGUAGUACCUCAGUUCCAGGUGGCAUCCUGGGAGGAACCUGUCACAAACACAUUCUAAGGUACCACUUAUUCUAGGUCUACUAGUGUGUUGUGUCUUGUCUUGUCUUGUCUGUGUUUGCCUUUUAAGCUGUAAAUUCCUUGAAUUGUAUCUCUGCUUUACACAGUGCAGAGACGUGACCAGAGCUUAGCAUAUAAUAAUGCUACCAAGCUGUGUCUUUGAGGUCCUAAUUAUAAUUGCUCUACUUUUAAAUUUAGUUUUUAGCAAUAACCAACACUAUUUGUGUUUGUUUAGCACCUGGCACAUUGGGGCCCUCAUCUUAGCUGAAGCCUACACUCAUGGAAUGCAAAUAAUGAUAAUAAUCAUAUUGUUAUUUUUCUUGCCAUUUCUCAGUCUUCUACAUUGCAUGAAAAAGAAAUGGGACAGUAACACAGUGUAUCAAUGGUUCUCAUUUAUGUUUGAUAGAUAUAGUAUCACAUCCAGAAAAUGUCUCUCUUGAACUUGAGUUUACUACAUUUAUUUUUUGUUUCAGUGCCUUUUAGCAGAGGUGACAGUUCAACACCAGCCAGGGUCUCUUCCAUAACAGUGGAAUUGGAUAUCACGUCAUAAGAACAUAAGAGCAGCCAUACUGGGUCAGACCAAAGGUCCAUCUGGCCCAGUAUCCUGUCUUCCAACAGUGGCCAAUGCCAGGUG